UUACGGCCAUAUGAUGUUGAAACUACCAGUUGCCAUACAAUCACUGAAGUUAAGCAAUGUCAAGCCUGGUCAGUACCUAGCUGGGUGACCACUUAGAAAUACCAGGUGCUGUAAG